rnacentral:rRNA from 1 species
AGAUUGAACGCUGGCGGCAGGCUUAACACAUGCAAGUCGAGCGGGGAAAUGUAGCUUGCUACAUUACCUAGCGGCGGACGGGUGAGUAAUGCUUAGGAAUCUGCCUAUUAGUGGGGGACAACAUUUCGAAAGGAAUGCUAAUACCGCAUACCGCCCUACGGGGGAAAGCGAGGGGAUCUUCGGACCUUGCGCUAAUAGAUGAGCCUAAGUCGGAUUAGCUAGUUGGUGGGGUAAAGGCCUACCAAGGCGACGAUCUGUAGCGGGUCUGAGAGGAUGAUCCGCCACACUGGGACUGAGACACGGCCCAG